UACGAAGGGGGCUAGCGUUGUUCAGAAUCACUGGGCGUAAAGCGCACGUAGGCGGAUCUUUAAGUCAGGGGUGAAAUCCCGAGGCUCAACCUCGGAACUGCCUUUGAUACUGGGGAUCUCGAGUCCGGGAGAGGUGAGUGGAACUGCGAGUGUAGAGGUGAAAUUCGUAGAUAUUCGCAAGAACACCAGUGGCGAAGGCGGCUCACUGGCCCGGAACUGACGCUGAGGUGCGAAAGCGUGGGGAG
rnacentral:rRNA from 1 species